rnacentral:rRNA from 1 species
GUGCCAGCAGCCGCGGUAAUACGUAGGUGGCAAGCGUUGUCCGGAUUUAUUGGGUUUAAAGGGUGCGUAGGCGGCCUAUUAAGUCAGUGCUGAAAUAUCCCGGCUUAACCGGGAGGGUGGCAUUGAUACUGAUGGGCUUGAGUGGAGUCGAGGUAGGCGGAAUUGACGGUGUAGCGGUGAAAUGCUUAGAUAUCGUCAAGAACACCGAUAGUGUAGACAGCUUACUAGACUUCAACUGACGCUGAGGCACGAAAGUGUGGGGAUCAAACAGGAUUAGAUACCCUGGUAGUCC